rnacentral:rRNA from 1 species
AUUGAACGCUGGCGGCAGGCCUAACACAUGCAAGUCGAACGGUAACAGGAAACAGCUUGCUGUUUCGCUGACGAGUGGCGGACGGGUGAGUAAUGUCUGGGAAACUGCCUGAUGGAGGGGGAUAACUACUGGAAACGGUAGCUAAUACCGCAUAACGUCGCAAGACCAAAGAGGGGGACCUUCGGGCCUCUUGCCAUCGGAUGUGCCCAGAUGGGAUUAGCUAGUAGGUGGGGUAACGGCUCACCUAGGCGACGAUCCCUAGCUGGUCUGAGAGGAU